rnacentral:rRNA from 1 species
GACGAACGCUGGCGGCGUGCUUAACACAUGCAAGUCGAACGGAAAGGCCCUGCUUUUGUGGGGUGCUCGAGUGGCGAACGGGUGAGUAACACGUGAGUAACCUGCCCUUGACUUUGGGAUAACUUCAGGAAACUGGGGCUAAUACCGGAUAGGAGCUCCUGCUGCAUGGUGGGGGUUGGAAAGUUUCGGCGGUUGGGGAUGGACUCGCGGCUUAUCAGCUUGUUGGUGGGGUAGUGGCUUACCAAGGCUUUGACGGGUAGCCGGCCUGAGAGGGUGACCGGCCACAUUGGGACUGAGAUACGGCCCAGACUCCUACGGGAGGCAGCAGUGGGGAAUAUUGCACAAUGGGCGGAAGCCUGAUGCAGCAACGCCGCGUGCGAGAUGACGGCCUUCGGGUUGUAAACCGCUUUCGCCUGUGACGAAGCGUGAGUGACGGUAAUGGGUAAAGAAGCACCGGCUAACUACGUGCCAGCAGCCGCGGUGAUACGUAGGGUGCGAGCGUUGUCCGGAUUUAUUGGGCGUAAAGGGCUCGUAGGUGGUUGAUCGCGUCGGAAGUGUAAUCUUGGGGCUUAACCCUGAGCGUGCUUUCGAUACGGGUUGACUUGAGGAAGGUAGGGGAGAAUGGAAUUCCUGGUGGAGCGGUGGAAUGCGCAGAUAUCAGGAGGAACACCAGUGGCGAAGGCGGUUCUCUGGGCCUUCCCUGACGCUGAGGAGCGAAAGCGUGGGGAGCGAACAGGCUUAGAUACCCUGGUAGUCCACGCUGUAAACGGUGGGUACUAGGUGUGGGGUCCAUUCCACGGGUUCCGUGCCGUAGCUAACGCUUUAAGUACCCCGCCUGGGGAGUACGGCCGCAAGGCUAAAACUCAAAGGAAUUGACAGGGCCCCGCACAAGCGGCGGAGCAUGCGGAUUAAUUCGAUGCAACGCGUAGAACCUUACCUGGGUUUGACAUGGAUCGGGAGCGCUCAGAGAUGGGUGUGCCUCUUUUGGGGUCGGUUCACAGGUGGUGCAUGGCUGUCGUCAGCUCGUGUCGUGAGAUGUUGGGUUAAGUCCCGCAACGAGCGCAACCCUUGUUCACUGUUGCCAGCACGUUAUGGUGGGGACUCAGUGGAGACCGCCGGGGUCAACUCGGAGGAAGGUGGGGAUGACGUCAAGUCAUCAUGCCCCUUAUGUCCAGGGCUUCACGCAUGCUACAAUGGCUGGUACAGAGAGUGGCGAGCCUGUGAGGGUGAGCGAAUCUCGGAAAGCCGGUCUCAGUUCGGAUUGGGGUCUGCAACUCGACCUCAUGAAGUCGGAGUCGCUAGUAAUCGCAGAUCAGCAACGCUGCGGUGAAUACGUUCCCGGG